rnacentral:tRNA from 1 species
GCACUAGUAGCUCAGAGCCAGAGCGCCGGCCUUGUAAGCCGGACGCCGAAGGUUAAAUCCCUUCCUACUGCU